rnacentral:rRNA from 1 species
UACGAAGGGGGCUAGCGUUGCUCGGAAUCACUGGGCGUAAAGCGCACGUAGGCGGAUCCUUAAGUCGGGGGUGAAAUCCUGGAGCUCAACUCCAGAACUGCCUUCGAUACUGAGGAUCUUGAGUCCGGGAGAGGUGAGUGGAACUGCGAGUGUAGAGGUGAAAUUCGUAGAUAUUCGCAAGAACACCAGUGGCGAAGGCGGCUCACUGGCCCGGUACUGACGCUGAGGCGCGAAAGCGUGGGGAGCAAACGGG